AAAGGGUGCGUAGGCGGGUAGGUAAGUCAGUGGUGAAAUCCUGGAGCUCAACUCCAGAACUGCCAUUGAUACUAUCUAUCUUGAAUAUUGUGGAGGUAAGCGGAAUAUGUCAUGUAGCGGUGAAAUGCUUAGAUAUGACAUAGAACACCCAUUGCGAAGGCAGCUUACUACGCAUAUAUUGACGCUGAGGCACGAAAGCGUGGGGAUCAAACAGGAUUAGAUACCCGAGU
rnacentral:rRNA from 1 species